rnacentral:rRNA from 1 species
AACGAACGCUGGCGGCACGUUUUAAGCAUGCAAGUCGAAUGGCAGUGGGGGCAACCCCAUGAGAAUGGCGAACGGUGAGUAACACGUAGGUGAUCUGCCUGACGGAUGGGGAUAGCUUGUGGAAACACAGGGUAAUACCGAAUGAGCUGACGAGACUUUGGUUUUGUUAGUAAAGGUGCUACGGCACCGCCGACAGAGGAGCCUGCGGCUGAUUAGCUAGUUGGUGGGGUAAAGGCCUACCAAGGCGACGAUCAGUAGCCGGCCUGAGAGGGGGUACGGCCACACUGGAACUGGGACACGGUCCAGACUCCUACGGGAGGCAGCAGCUAAGAAUCUUCCGCAAUGGGCGAAAGCCUGACGGAGCGAUGCCGCGUGAUCGAUGAAGGUCGAGAGAUUGUAAAGAUCUUUUCUACAUGAGGAAUAAGUCUGGGAGGGAAUGCCUGGAUGAUGACGUUAGUGUAGGAAUAAGCCCCGGCUAAUUACGUGCCAGCCGCCGCCGUAA